rnacentral:rRNA from 1 species
UACGUAGGGCGCAAGCGUUGUCCGGAAUUAUUGGGCGUAAAGAGCUCGUAGGCGGCUUGUCACGUCGGGUGUGAAAGCCCGGGGCUCAACCCGGGAACUGCGUCCGAUACUGGCAGGCUUGAAUCCGGGAGAGGGAUGCGGAAUUCCAGGUGUAGCGGUGAAAUGCGUAGAUAUCUGGAGGAACACCGGUGGCGAAGGCGGCAUCCUGGACCGGCAUUGACGCUGAGGCGCGAAAGCCAGGGGAGCAAACGGG